UUGCUUCUCUGAUGUUAGCGGCGGACGGGUGAGUAACACGUGGAUAACCUACCUAUCAAGACUGGGAUAACUUCGGGAAACCGGAGCUAAUACCGGAUAAUAUUUUGAACCGCAUGGUUCAAAAGUGAAAGACGGUCUUGCUGUCACUUAUAGAUGGAUCCGCGCUGCAUUAGCUAGUUGGUAAGGUAACGGCUUACCAAGGCAACGAUGCAUAGCCGACCUGAGAGGGUGAUCGGCCACACUGGAACUGAGACACGGUCCAGACUCCUACGGGAGGCAGCAGUAGGGAAUCUUCCGCAAUGGGCGAAAGCCUGACGGAGCAACGCCGCGUGAGUGAUGAAGGUCUUCGGAUCGUAAAACUCUGUUAUUAGGGAAGAACAUAUGUGUAAGUAACUGUGCACAUCUUGACGGUACCUAAUCAGAAAGCCACGGCUAACUACGUGCCAGCAGCCGCGGUAAUACGUAGGUGGCAAGCGUUAUCCGGAAUUAUUGGGCGUAAAGCGCGCGUAGGCGGUUUUUUAAGUCUGAUGUGAAAGCCCACGGCUCAACCGUGGAGGGUCAUUGGAAACUGGAAAACUUGAGUGCAGAAGAGGAAAGUGGAAUUCCAUGUGUAGCGGUGAAAUGCGCAGAGAUAUGGAGGAACACCAGUGGCGAAGGCGACUUUCUGGUCUGUAACUGACGCUGAUGUGCGAAAGCGUGGGGAUCAAACAGGAUUAGAUACCCUGGUAGUCCACGCCGUAAACGAUGAGUGCUAAGUGUUAGGGGGUUUCCGCCCCUUAGUGCUGCAGCUAACGCAUUAAGCACUCCGCCUGGGGAGUACGACCGCAAGGUUG
rnacentral:rRNA from 1 species